UCAGACACUUGAUGCGCAUGACAUCAGAGAGUCUUUGUCCUUCUGUGUCUGUCUUGCUUCGCUUGAAAUGAUGUCCUCCAGUGAGUUCCUGUCGAGGCUCAGUGGUCAUGAACCCGACUGGUAUCUCUGAGGACGCGGGUUCGACCCUUGGCCUUGCUCAGUGGGGGAAGAAUCCAGCGUUGCGGUGAGCUGUGGCAGAGGUCCCAGGCGUGCGCGCAGCUGGUUUCCAGCUUUGCUGCGGCUGGGGUGUCAGCCGGUGGCUACAGCUCUGAUUUGCCGCCUCGCCUGGGAAUUUCCAUAUGCCGCGGGGGCAGCCCUCAAACCCCGAAACGAAUCGAUCAGUAAUGUCCUCCAGUUCUCUGUGCAUUGCUGCAAUGGGUAGGGUUUCCACCUUCUGUGGAAACGGAACGCCUUUCUGUUGUCUGUAUCCACCCCGUCGUCUUUCUCAGUGUGUGCGCCCGUGGACACUGAGGCUCUGUUUCUGUUGGGCUCUUGUGUAUGGCGCUGCCGUGAUCCUGGGGUGGCAGGUCUCUUUACCCGACACCGAUGGUUCUUCCUUUAGAUGGUCCACGCAGCGGUGGGAUUGCAGGGUCCCGUGAUAGGCCUAUGGGCAGCUUUCCUGAGGACCUGCCAUCGUGUGUCCCGUCCUGGCUGGGCCAGCUGACCUUCCCUCCUACAGGGUACAGAAGUCCCAGGUAGUCACAUCUUCCCAAACACCUGUUCACGCUUGAAAACACUCCGCGUCCUGACAGGUGGGAGGUGAUACCUCAUUGUGCCUUUGCUUUGCCUUUCCGUUGUGGCAGGUGACUUUGGGAAACAUUCCCUGUGUGUGCGGCUCUCUGUUGUCGUCUUGGACGGAGGGUCUCUCCCAGGCUUCUGCUCAUCUACAACUGAGUUAUUUGCGUUUUGAUUCAGUUGACUUGUCGUUGUUUCCCAUAGAUUCUGGACAUGAGCCCUUGUUCCAAAUGUAAGGUUUGCAGAUAGUGUCUUCUGCGGGUUGUCUUUCCAUUCAGUGGCUCGUUAGACCCUGUCCUUUCUGUUUGUCUCUGUGUUCAUUGAGGUGCCGUGUUGUUUCAUUUUCUGCUGUGUAGCAACAUUCCCCAGGCUGUGUGUGCAUAAACACAGGUUCCUGUUUGACUGUUAUCGUCCGUCCCGGUCGAUUUCAGGAGAUCGGAUCUAGUUCCCCGUGCGCUGCAACAGGAGGACCUCGUCGUCUCUCCAUUCUCAAUGCCGUAGUUGGCAUCGACUCCCCCAAACUCCCAGUCCAUCGCCCUCACAACCACAAGUCUAUUCUCUGUGUCCGUGGGUUUUGUGGACAGGUUCCUUUGUGCCAUGGUUUAGAUUCCACAUCUAAGUGAAAUCAGGUGGUAUCCGUCUAUCUCUUUCUCACGUCCUUCGCUUUGUAUGAGAAUCUCUCGAUCCAUCCCUAUUGUUUUGAAGGGCAUUGGUUUCUUCUUUGAUUUUCUGGCUGAGUCGUGAAUUCCAUCGUAUAUGUGGACCACAUCGUCGGAUCCAUUCGUCUGUCUGGGGACAUGAGGUGGCUUCCCUGUCUUGGCUGUUGUGAGUAGUGCCGCCAUAAACACACAGGGGCAUAUAGUCUUUUGCCUGGAUACGUUUGUCCUGAUAUUUUCCAGGGCGCUCGCUCGACUUGCUGGGUGCCAUGCUGUGCUAUGUUCAGUUUUCGGAGGCCCCUCCGUGGUGUCUUCCGUAGUGGUUGUACCAGUGUACAUUUGCACCGGCAGUGCUGGGGGGACGCCUUUUCUCCACCCGUGUCUGCGACCGACACCAGAGCUCGCGGCAGCGCUGGAUCCUUAACCCCCUCAGCGAGGCCAGGGAUCAACCCCGCAAGCUCGUGGUUCCUAGUCGGAUUCGUUUCCGCUGUGCCCCGACGGGACCUCCUGGGUCGUUUCGUUGUUGCUGCGGUGAGGUGUAUGAGUUUUCUUUAUGUAUGUUUUGGAGAGGAACCUCACGGGCAGUGGUACCUUUCUCCUCAGUGUUUCUGUAGAGCUGCUUGCAGUCCACAGUGUGGCAGCCACUGGCCAGAGGGAGCCAUUUAUGUUUGAUUGAAUUCAAUCCGUAGUUAGGUCUGCCUCUUGCAGUGAACACAACAAAGCAGCCAGUGGUUCACUCACACACGCCACCACGCAAGUGUGUCCAUGCAGCUUGAAUUUCAACCUGGAGCUGAGACCUCCAGAUGGACUCCUAGAAGGGUGACGUGUAAAGCUGCAUCCCUCAGCAGCCCACGAUCUUGGCAGGUUUGCCACUGUGACCAAUGUUUUAUUGAAGCUUCUGAGGCCGUAGAGCACAGGGAAGUUCCGAGCACACAGAGGACAAGCCAGGGCGGUGCUGUGUGGCCCAAAACAACCUUAAGGAGACAUGAGUGGGGGACGGUUUCUGACACCUUGAUUCCUCAUGUCUGUGUUUCUGCAGUGUGGAGCAUUGUGAGUCUGUGUGGCAGCAACCACGAAGAAAGUGAUACAGACUUGGUGGCGGAGAGCACCGACUGCCGCCAGGAUGAGGAGGCUGCAGCAACCCCCGACGAUGUUGUGGAGGCCGGUGGGAGUGAGAAGACCAAGGAGGAGGCCCUGGCUGGGGAAACUGAGGAGGAGAUGGGGCUGGGGACUGUGAAGGCGGAGGAGGAGGAGGAAAAGGAGGAAGCUGCAGCCAUAGACAAGGCGGAGGAGGAGGCGGGCCCGGCCCAUGAAAAUGACAAGGAGGAGUCGCCAGCCAGCGACCGGGCUGAGCAGGAAGACAAGCCUGCCCCCAAGGUAAGCUCACCUUUCUUGAUGUGAGAUUUGAAAAGUUGCCUUUUUUCUUUUUUGAUAUCCCUAUCUCAGAAAUGGAAAUCUGAGAAAGUCCGUUAUAGAGGGUAUGUGCAGAUUCCUCUGCGGAGGAAUGUUGAGUCAAAGUUUGGUACCAACCAAUAACUCCUUCCAAGGGGCACUGGCCAAAGUGACCGCAUCAGUUCCCAAGUGUACGGCAGGGAGCAUUUUUCUUUGAAGAAGCCUGAAUGUUGUUUUGUUUUGUUUUGUUUUGUUUGUCUUUUUGCCUUUUCUAGGGCCACUCCCGUGGCAUAUGGAGUUUCCCAGGCCAGGGGUCUCGUCGGUGCUGUAGACACCGGCCUACGCCAGAGACGCAGCAGCGUGGGAUCCGAGCCAUGUCGGCAGCCUACACCACAGCUCAUGCAAUGCCGGAUCCUUAACCUACUGAGCAAGGCCAGGGAUGGAAACCGCAACCGCAUGGUUCCUGGUGGGAUUGGUUAACCACUGUGCCACGACGGGAACUCCAAAAAAGCCUCAAUGUUUUUUAAAUGAACACGGCCUUGGGAGAUCUUCCAUGAGAAGCUGGCGCCUUUGCAAAGGUGUCUUCGCUGUCUUCUCUUGGGGAAACUGACUCAACUCUGCCUUCUGUCUGCGUGCCUGCGGUCCCCAACAGCAGGAAGACCUGUGGCCGCAGUGCAGAGGAUGCUGUGACGCUCACAGUGUUUUCUUUUCUCUCAUCACAGGUGGACGGGACGGACGAUGAAAGCUGUGAGUAUUCUGGAACCCUGCUCUGCUGAGGAGAAGUCCAGGUGUUGAGGAAGGGAGGGGGGCUUUCCUGCUCCUUUGGUUGCAGAGACACCCUGAUUCUGGGUUCCUCCUGGGAAUGAGGGUGAAGGAUGGGGUGAAAGAGACAGACUUCCCACUGAAGGGCCACCCCAGGUUCUAGGGUCCCUGGACAAAAGGAGGCUCUUUGUAUGGUGUGGGUAGGUGUCCAGGACCAUUGGGCGGGGGGUGUGUGUGUCGGGGGGGGGGCUGUUGGUGUGAUUGGGAAUCAGUGUGAGUGGGUGUGUUUUGUGGGGAGCCGUUUGUGGCUUAGCACCACAUAGCUGUCCAGUUUCUAAUUGAAGAGUCUCAUGAUGCCCGCAGGCUAACUGUCCAUUCCCUCGUUCUGCCCGCACCGGCUGGGAGCAAGGUUUUGGGGGAAAGGCAUUCCUUCCUUCCUCCGUUGGUCUUUCUUUUCCUUUUUGCUUCCCUCUCUGCCUUGUGUGGACUUUCAUACCGUUGUUUCAAACAUGUGCCAGGGACUCGAGCCUCUUCAGGUUGUGAGUGUCCGGAGGAGUGUUGUGAACGCUGUGCUCCACCCGCACCUCCUGCCCACUCUGGGCAGCCACCCUUCCAGCCUCUGCUCAGGAGUGGUCUGUCAGACACUUGAUGCGCAUGACAUCAGAGAGUCUUUGUCCUUCUGUGUCUGUCUUGCUUCGCUUGAAAUGAUGUCCUCCAGCGAGUUCCUGUCGAGGCUCAGUGGUCAUGAACCCGACUGGUAUCUCUGAGGACGCGGGUUCGACCCUUGGCCUUGCUCAGUGGGGGAAGAAUCCAGCGUUGCGGUGAGCUGUGGCAGAGGUCCCAGGCGUGCGCGCAGCUGGUUUCCAGCUUUGCUGCGGCUGGGGUGUCAGCCGGUGGCUACAGCUCUGAUUUGCCGCCUCGCCUGGGAAUUUCCAUAUGCCGCGGGGGCAGCCCUCAAACCCCGAAAUGAAUCGAUCAGUAAUGUCCUCCAGUUCUCUGUGCAUUGCUGCAAUGGGUAGGGUUUCCACCUUCUGUGGAAACGGAACGCCUUUCUGUUGUCUGUAUCCACCCCGUCGUCUUUCUCAGUGUGUGCGCCCGUGGACACUGAGGCUCUGUUUCUGUUGGGCUCUUGUGUAUGGCGCUGCCGUGAUCCUGGGGUGGCAGGUCUCUUUACCCGACACCGAUGGUUCUUCCUUUAGAUGGUCCACGCAGCGGUGGGAUUGCAGGGUCCCGUGAUAGGCCUAUGGCAGCUUUCCUGAGGACCUGCCAUCGUGUGUCCCGUCCUGGCUGGGCCAGCUGACCUUCCCUCCUACAGGGUACAGAAGUCCCAGGUAGUCACAUCUUCCCAAACACCUGUUCACGCUUGAAAACACUCCGCGUCCUGACAGGUGGGAGGUGAUACCUCAUUGUGCCUUUGCUUUGCCUUUCCGUUGUGGCAGGUGACUUUGGGAAACAUUCCCUGUGUGUGCGGCUCUCUGUUGUCGUCUUGGACGGAGGGUCUCUCCCAGGCUUCUGCUCAUCUACAACUGAGUUAUUUGCGUUUUGAUUCAGUUGACUUGUCGUUGUUUCCCAUAGAUUCUGGACAUGAGCCCUUGUUCCAAAUGUAAGGUUUGCAGAUAGCGUCUUCUGCGGGUUGUCUUUCCAUUCAGUGGCUCGUUAGACCCUGUCCUUUCUGUUGUCUCUGUGUUCAUUGAGGUGCCGAGUUGUUUCAUUUUCUGCUGUGUAGCAACAUUCCCCAGGCGUGUGUGUGCAUAAACACAGGUUCCUGUUUGACUGUUAUCGUCCGUCCCGGUCGAUUUCAGGAGAUCGGAUCUAGUUCCCCGUGCGCUGCAACAGGAGGACCUCGUCGUCUCUCCAUUCUCAAUGCCGUAGUUGGCAUCGACUCCCCCAAACUCCCAGUCCAUCGCCCUCACAACCACAAGUCUAUUCUCUGUGUCCGUGGGUUUUGUGGACAGGUUCCUUUGUGCCAUGGUUUAGAUUCCACAUCUAAGUGAGAUCAGGUGGUAUCCGUCUAUCUCUUUCUCACGUCCUUCGCUUUGUAUGAGAAUCUCUCGAUCCAUCCCUAUUGUUUUGAAGGGCAUCUGGGUUUCUUCUUUGAUUUUCUGGCUGAGUCGUGAAUUCCAUCGUAUAUGUGGACCACAUCGUCGGAUCCAUUCGUCUGUCUGGGACAUGAGGUGGCUUCCCUGUCUUGGCUGUUGUGAGUAGUGCCC
rnacentral:lncRNA from 9 species